CUUUUGAUGCUUUGCUGCUGUUUAAAUGCUGCCUGAAUGCAUUAAAAGGACACCUGGCAAACUGCACAGAUAGAAAUAAUUGGCUGCAUGAGCUCCAGCUAAAAACAUUCGCUUUCUGAAUGAAAUGUGAUUCCCUUGCGACACAGCUGAAUUAAUAAGCUGGGCCAAAUUAGCUGCGCAGCUUAGGCAUGUCAUUUCCUCUUUCUCAGCAGCACUUGCCUCUACCUAAAUUAGGCUGACAACAAAUACUAUCUGGAGUGUGGUUGUUUUGUACUUUAACUUAUGCUGUUCUGUUGGUACUUUUUUGAACUGUGUGUAAAAGUUUGCUGGGGAGGAAAUAUUCCACACUUGGGGGUGAAACUUGUCGUGUUUUAAUUUUGGGGGAAAGGCUGAGACCAACAUUUUUUUUCUUCAUGUUGGGAUUCCUCACUCUGAGUGAAUCAGAUAGUUGAAAUGAUAUUUUUGCUGGCAUGUAAAGUUUGUGUUUCUCUUUUUUAGGACUGUUGCCCAGUUUGACAGCUUGAAAGCUUUCACUCGAAUGGAUCAAUCACACUUCUAUCUGAAACCCCUGGCUUCUCUGUUUGCUUGUCCUGCGCAAUCUCUGGUUCUUCACAAGGCCGAGAUCAGAGAAGAAGGAAACAGUGGUGCUACAAUUUUGUCUCUGAAUUCAAGUCAGCCUGGGGAAUUCCUUUGAGUAUGUGCAGCAAAGCCUUGAAGAGAGCCUGACUAUCGAUUCAAGAUGUCAUCAAGAAACUAACACACAACACCGCGCUACUCCAGCAGUAAGUAAGAAAAUAUUGUCUGCCUAGCCUGGCUGCCUGCCUGUUGCAGUUGAAUCUCUUUCGUAACUUUUUGUCCCAGCCUUUGCAUCGCUGGUUCCUCAUAUGUUGCCUCUCUUUGUUUUAGCUUGAGAACCAUUCCUCAGUAGGCAGCUAAUUCAACACUGCUGUGGCUGUCUUAACUCUUCUGCUGCACAAUCUCUUUUUGAUUCAUCACAAUGUGAAGCUUAGCUUAUGCAGCUUGCUGAAUGCAUUCGUAAUCUUCUUGUCUAAUUAAAGGCUUGGAUAUAUUAGAGUCUUCAUGAAUCUUCAUGAAAGAAUACGCUUUUGUGUCCUGUUGUCAAACUGGUAAAUUUCUGUUGCCAGAAUGGUUUGCUUUUGCAAAGGGAAACAGCUGUUAUGAUGGAGACAGCGGUGGCGCAUUGAUUGCACAAUACGUGUCUCAACUCAACUCAGCCUUUUCGCUGUUCCUACAUCUCUCUGAAUCUUCCUGUAUUUCACUUCAGCUUCUCCGGUUCUGAAGAAAAGCAAAGUUGGACGACAAGGCAGUGCUUUUGUGUGUUGAAGAAUCCCUCCCAGCUUUUUAUGGUAGUGGGACGGCCACAUGCUGACUGGAUGUGAAGGAGUCCGAAGGAGACCGGUGCAGCUCCUUAUGUAGAUCAGGGGAGAAUGAAACAGUGGUGCCAUUACUUUGUCUUCAAAUUCAAGUCAUCCUGAAGGAUUUCUUUGAGCAAGUGCAGCAAGGCCCUGAAGAGUGCCUGGCCAUUGAUUCCUGAAGUCAGCAAGAACUUUUCACAUGAGACCAGCACUACUUCAGCAGUAAUGUAAGAAAAUAUUUCCCAGUGCAAUGCACCAUAUCCCUUCUGAAUACCUGUCUAUGCUGAUGUGAUGGAUUACGAGAAUGGUUUCAGACUUUGGAGUUGGGAGGGCUGCUGAGUGUGUUUGUCAACUUUUGGUGAGUCUGUUCCUUGUUGAGUCUGUGACUGAAUGUACGUGGUGCUACAUAUGUA